UACGUAGGGGGCGAGCGUUGUCCGGAUUCAUUGGGCGUAAAGAGCUCGUAGGCGGUUCGGCAAGUCGGGUGUGAAAACUCCAGGCUCAACCUGGAGACGCCACCCGAUACUGCUGUGACUCGAGUCCGGUAGGGGACCACGGAAUUCCAGGUGUAGCGGUGAAAUGCGUAGAUAUCUGGAGGAACACCGGUGGCGAAGGCGGCAUCCUGGACCGGCACUGACGCUGAGGAGCGAAAGCCAGGGGAGCAAAGCGGG
rnacentral:rRNA from 1 species